rnacentral:rRNA from 1 species
UACACAUGCAAGUCGAACGGCAGCACGGGUGCUUGCACCUGGUGGCGAGUGGCGAACGGGUGAGUAAUACAUCGGAACAUGUCCUGUAGUGGGGGAUAGCCCGGCGAAAGCCGGAUUAAUACCGCAUACGAUCUACGGAUGAAAGCGGGGGACCUUCGGGCCUCGCGCUAUAGGGUUGGCCGAUGGCUGAUUAGCUAGUUGGUGGGGUAAAGGCCUACCAAGGCGACGAUCAGUAGCUGGUCUGAGAGGACGACCAGCCACACCGGGACUGAGACACGGCCCAGACUCCUACGGGAGGCAGCAGUGGGGAAUUUUGGACAAUGGGCGAAAGCCUGAUCCAGCAAUGCCGCGUGUGUGAAGAAGGCCUUCGGGUUGUAAAGCACUUUUGUCCGGAAAGAAAUCCCUGGCUCUAAUACAGCCGGGGGAUGACGGUACCGGAAGAAUAAGCACCGGCUAACUACGUGCCAGCAGCCGCGGUAAUACGUAGGGUGCAAGCGUUAAUCGGAAUUACUGGGCGUAAAGCGUGCGCAGGCGGUUUGCUGAGACCGAUGUG